rnacentral:rRNA from 1 species
UGGGGAAUCUUCCGCAAUGGACGAAAGUCUGACGGAGCAACGCCGCGUGAGUGAAGAAGGUUUUCGGAUCGUAAAACUCUGUCUUUUGGGGCGAACGUGAGUAUGGUGAACAAUCAUAGUCAGUGACGGUACCAAAGGAGGAAGCCACGGCUAACUACGUGCCAGCAGCCGCGGUAAUACGUAGGUGGCAAGCGUUGUCCGGAAUUAUUGGGCGUAAAGAGCGCGUAGGCGGGAUAGUCAGUCUGUUGUAAAGUGCGGGGCUCAACCCCGUGAUCGCAAUGGAAACAGCUAUUCUUGAGUGCAGGAGAGGAAAGGUGGAAUUCCCAGUGUAGCGGUGAAAUGCGUAGAUAUUGGGAGGAACACCAGUGGCGAAGGCGACUUUCUGGACUGUGUCUGACGCUGAGGCGCGAAAGCCAGGGGAGCGAACGGGAUUAGAUACCCCGGUAGUCCUGGCCGUAAACGAUGGGUACUAGGUGUGGGAGGUAUCGACCCCCUUUCCGUGCCGGAGUUAACGCAAUAAGUACCCCGCCUGGGGAGUACGGUCGCAAGACUGAAACUCAAAGGAAUUGACGGGGGUCAUAGCUGUUUCCUG